rnacentral:rRNA from 1 species
CGUAAAGCGCAUGCAGGCGGCCUGUUAAGUCAGAUGUGAAAGCCCGGGGCGUUAACCUCGGAAAUUGCAUUUGAAACUGGCAGGCUAGAGUCUUGUAGAGGGGGGUAGGAAGUUUCAGGUGUAGCGGUGAAAUGCGUAGAGAUCUGAAGGAAUACCAGUGGCGAAGGCGGCCCCCUCGGACAAAGACUGACGCUCAGAUGCGAAAGCGUGAGGAGCAAACAGGAUUAGAUACCCUGGUAG